CACCUGGAUGAGGAAAAGCUAUCGAAAUAAUCCACAAGGUCAAAGAUAUCUGUUCAGGGAGAAGGCCCCUUUUCUUUGACUGCCAUCUUGACUGCAGGCCUGCUGCCCUUUCUUGUUAAUUGAGGUGUCAUUCAGCAAGAGAUACUCUGGUUAAUAAACCUUCAAGAAAGGAACGUUGUAACUUUAGACAGCUCCAAGUACCAAAUCCAGAGAGGCAAGACCUCCGAAUGAAACUACUUUGUCAAGGGGAGUUCUUAGUGGACACUGAUAAUUCUUGCAUUUGAUACGAAAUGAAGGACAAAGAUAUUGAAGACUGACUGAUGAAGGAGAAUGAAGCAUACCUAUGUGAAUAACUGGAAGUCCUGGUCUCAGCAAUGUUCCAGGUGGGUAAUCAGGGGCCAAACAGCGCUGCAGCUGCUUCCCCGGGCUGUUUGGUAGCUGCUCCACACUGAAGUCCUGCUCUGCUUGUGUUCCUGGAGCAUGGAUCUGCUGUGGGACCUUUUUAUCUGAACUGGAGAGGUUAUUCCUUUGCUUCCAUAAAUACAGUGCCAGAGCUCAUUAAGAACAGAAAUGCCUUUUUUGACAAUGGUGAUGGAUUCACUGAACAAGUCAGACUUCUGGCUAAUUCUGCCCAGCUUUAUACCAGAAAAAAAGGUAAUUUUUAUUCUGACCUUGUAUUCUUCGUGUUUUAUAUAUGUGCAUCCAGUAGACAGACAGUCCUCUAAUGGUACGCAGCGUUUGGUGACAGAUACACUUUCUCCAGUAACUUUCAUCAUGUGUUGGCUAUAGCAGUAUCUUGUACCUAGAAAGAGAGAAAAUGUUGUUUUCCCAGCAAAUUCAAACUUGGUGAUAUUCUACAAAUAGUAAAGAAAUAGGAAAGAAAUCUUAGGAUUUUGAAACCUUAGGAUUUCAAAAAAAGCAGGAAGAAUUUUGAUGUGUGUGUUUAUUACAGUAACUACGUGUAACUAACUAAAUACAUACUUGUGCAUGCACACACGCGCGUACACACACACCCCUACCUGCAACCAGGAAGAAGUUUUGUCUCAAAACUAACAUGGAUUUAUAUGUUACAGAUAAAUUUGACUAGACAGUCAAAUUAUGGAGCAAGGUGCAGAUAAACCCCUACAACCUUGUAUGCCAUUAGUUUUACAAGAAUUACUUUCAAAAAUGAACACUUGCAUUAUCUGUUUAUAUCUGAAGCUUUCAUGCUUCUUACAUUUAUAUGGGUUUAAAUUUUUCCUAGCUUCACGUACAACCACUAAGUGCUUAGAAGCACCUAACACACUGUAAAUUGGAGAUCCCCUUUCCCUUUAUUUUAACAGACUGUGCAAGUUGUCCUCAAUGUUUGUACUCUAACCCUGGCUCUCUAAGAGCUUCCUGCAUAGCCUGGAGUUGACUAUUUGGCCUCUCUGUCUCUCAAUUUAUCAUUUUUAAAAUAGUGGUGAAAGACCAGCAAAACAGUUGGGAUGACUGAUGUAGUCUUCUGCUGUGACUGUGCCCCCGUUACUUCCACUGCAUCUUAAUGUCUACGUCUCCCGCAGCCUGAAGGCUCAAACCAGGAUCAGCUACAAAUACAAUGGCUGAGCUCAGGCUGAAAGGAAUUUAGUUUUAUUUCAUUCUUUAGUUUUCAGAGGGAACUGGAGGGUGCUACUGCCCUAUCACCCUCCCAGCACUGUAAGAUGAAAACACUGUAUUUUCAACACAGGAAACAUUCCAUUCUGUGUUUCUUCUUAAUUUGCUACCUUGCAUCGUAUUAAUCAACAUUAUUACUGAUGCAAUUGUUGCUUUCACAGGGCAAAAAAAAGGCGUGUAAUCAAUUCAAAGUGAACAUUCCUGUGCAGCAAUUCUCUCGCAGGCAUAGCCCUGCGUGCUUGUCGUGUUUUAGGCAUUCGGCAACAGCAGAGGGAGAUUACUGAAUGUACAUGUUAUUCACUAGGCAAUAAAAACCCUCAGACAUCUGUCAUAUCUCUGACCUGCUCCUAACUCAAGUGUGAUAACCACAGCAAACAGACUUGACUUACUUAUCAUCGGAGGGCUGAAACGCUCGGUGUACUGCCCUCUUUCAAAUGCGGGAGGGCUACAGCACAAAGCUCUUCAUGCAUGUUCCAGGCUUCCCCACGGCGAGCUUAGGCGCACAGUUUUACCCGAAGGGGAGCACGCUCUACUCCCGCUGAGGGGACAAACUGGGCUGGUGACACUGAGCCAGCAAAAACAAAGCAUCUAGCACCCCAUAGCUCUUUCAAAGUCGCUCCCAAGGUUGUUUAGGCUAAAAAAAAUAACAUCUGUUUUAGAAAGUAUGGUGCAGUCAUCCUGGAGAUAUGUAUUUUUCCCCUCGUAUGAAAACAGGCAUGCUGCUCUUCAUACGGAGCUGAUGACCAUCUCCUGUGAGACCAGCGGUAACUGCAGGACUCCACAGCAAGCAACAAAACCCCUCGUUCUAAUGGAGAACGUGCUGCCACUGGCUUCCUAAAUGCCAUCUGGGCAACGUUAAUCCUACAGAGGAGACGUGCUGCAGCUCCAUUGCCUACCAGCACUCACGUGAACCAGGGACGAUACAAGCCCAGAUGAAACUGAAGCAGACUUUUGCUACCCUGGCAGAAAAGACUGCCAUCAAGGCUAUUAACUUUUGCACUAGUCUGGUCUUUUUUCAGCCUGACUCUUUUCUCCGAACAGCCUGAGCGCAGUGAUGACAGUUGAUAAGGAAAGGAAUGGUCCACAGAGCCCCCGAGACAGCCCGGGGCAAAGCAGAGGUGAGGUAAAGAGGCAAGUCUAACCUGUAAUUACUGCUCUGGAGCUGGUCAGGCCUGGGGGAGGCAUGGAAGAGGGCUCCAAGCUGAGCCUAAGAAGCAGAUAGGCCCAUCGACUGUAAAACUUUUAACUAAAAUAAUACAGAAAUUUAGAGCAAUUCAAAUAAGACAUUGUAGCAUGAAAUUUGAUGCUUUUAACUAUUGUGGUGUCCAAGCCAGGCAGGCAGGUGUCUGCCAUGGUGUUAAGGAUAGACUAGUACUCUGCUUUUUCUCUGCUCAAUGGCAAUCUCCUCUUUAAAAGGCUUUCUGUGCAGUAUGGAGGAAGAUACUGUCAGCUUAAACCUGGCCUCUGUUGUAUCAUACCAUGCAGGGAUUUAUUUUUUUUCUUCCAGCGUUUCUUUAACAGCCCUUCAGAGGCAGGCCGAGUGGGCUGUUAUACUUAAGGCUGUCCAACACUUUCCAUUAGCUCAGCAUUUGAAAAUGAGAUUAUAGCUCUAUGCAAUUAUUUGGGGGAUGCAGAUAUAAUUUAUAGAUUGCUGUUUGAGACUAUAAAUUUGCUGUCAUACUCCUCUCAUCUGGGCUGCUUCCCUGGCUCCUUUCACACUGGACCACAAUGCCAACAGGCCCAUGACAGAGAGAGGUUAAAUUUUCAGGGUUGUCAAUCUACGCUGCACAGGAGCAAAACUGGCUUUUCUAGUUAGCGCCUCAGGCACUAGUCACCGGGCCAGAGAAGUGCUUUAUCUCAGAAAGGCAGCGAGGUUUCCUGAUGCACAGAACGGGUUUUCAUUAGCUGCUUUAAUGCCAGGAGGAGAAGGAAAGCGCAGGUGGCCGUGGGCAGGCAGCGAGCAGCAGGGACGAGAGAAGGCACCGCGUGCCAGGGACACCAGCACGUGCAGGCCAGCACCAAGAACGAUGGUUUGAAACAGCUCGUAAAUCAGACUCCCAGCACCCGGUGAGGAAACUACCCCCACGUAACUGUGACAACAUGUGCCUAAGCCAGGGGAAAAUUAAAUCAUGAUUAGAAGCAGAAAGGAAAUAAAGCCAGCCUCUCCCAGCGCCGUGGGGGAAAGAGAGAAGCACAACAGGGGCGGUCUGUGCGGUCUGGAAGAGCAGCCCCCGGCAGAGCUAGCGGAGCCCCAGCCCAGCACGGCAGGGCGCUGAGCGCAGAUCCAGGACUAGCCGCCUCUACGGAGCUGCUUGUGGGUAAAUACACGUCAAACGGGAGCUGCCCCGGCCAGCUGCCGACACCGUCUGAAGGGCCCGAGCCCAGGGAAACGAGGGCCGUGAGCCAUCGACUGCCCAACUAGUGGCAGCAGAUGGACAAUCUCCAGCCUGGGGGGAUUCGCUGGGAGGCACGUAUAUGUGUGUGUGUAUAUAUAUAUAAAUACACGGAACAGAAGCCAUACACACACCUCAGCACAAUGAAACAAAACUUGUUUAGAGCCCUUAACCCAAUCCGACCUCUCCUGCACAACGUCCAGGCGUCCCCCCAGCACACGCACACCACCAGCCCGUCUCCGUACCGCCCCAGCAGAGACACUCGGGGCAGCCGCUUGUUUGCACGUGGAAAUCGCUCAAUAUUCAUGCUGGUAGAAAAACAAAGAUUAUGAGGUUUUUUUUGAAUUUUUUACCCCAAAGAAAACAAGGCAGACUUCAUGAACCUCGUUAUUCAUUGCAAGGAAUCGGUGAGCUACACUGAAACUCUCUGUUGGUUCCUAUGCUAUCAGCAGCAAUAGUGUGGUGCUGUACAAUAAAAUUAGACCCCCCCCACCCCAAAAGGAAGCAGCUCUUCACAAUCCAGCACUAACUCUAAUAAAAUGCACAUAAAGUAGCUUUUCUCAGAAAUCUGCGUACUCCAUAUUUUACAAAUACUCUGAAUAUGUGCACAUUUGCAGAACAGAUCUACUCUUCAGAGUGCGGUAACACAUUUUUCCUUCUGAAUUAACUCCGUUGCUUUCUAAAUUUUAGCAGCCUCUCGUGCAUAACAGCAUGCGUGCACCAACGUAAUAGAAAAUGGCAUGGACUAACCUGAAUUGGACACUGGCUCGCGGUUAGGGGAAAUAGUCACAUGGUAUUUAGAUCAUACAGUCUGUUUAUAAAAGGUCUUGGGCACUGACACAGAAAUCCUAGUUAACUCAAUCUUUCCAGCUUCAGCAGCAUCUUUCAGACGGAAAGGCAUCCUCACUGGCGUUACAGAGGAGGAUUACUUCUUCCUGCCCUUUGCCCUGACACUGCGCUAUGGAAAUGAACCAUUAGAUUCACUGAGCAGCAGGACAAUUGCUCAUUUGUCAGGUCUCAUUAGGGUGGCGACAUGUCGCCUUACUUGUCACCUCCUCCGGAGACAAUGGCAUGUCAAAGUCCUCGGACGAAAGAGGACCGGGAAGUUUGCAAGCAAAGGCCAUGCCAAAAUCAAACGUUUGGUUCUCCGGAAGACAAGUUGUCAGAGACAAAGAUCAUUUGUGAGGACUGUGACCUAGCCCUUGCUCAUGGCCUUCUCCCAGGCUCAGGAGGUAUCUCCUCGCCGGUCUCCGUCUGGACGCUAUGAACGACUCAGGCACUGCGCUAUUGCCAGCUGAAAGGCACCGGUGUCCUCAUUUUUGCUGAUUGACCUCUGCAGCUUUUUCUUCUAAACUGAAGAAAAAAUGUCACACUUCAAUUCUCCCCAUAUAAACACUCAGCUAAAGCAAGCUAUGAAGGAAUUUCUUGUUUAUGGACAUUUUUGUGGUUCUUCUUUCCACAUACAAGCACUGCACAUGCCGUAGUGUUCAGUGCCUCUCCGCCUCUGUCCUGCAGGAACCGAAACAUUGCUCUGCUCUUUGGAUGUCAGGCGCAGACGGAGGCUGCCCCAUUUCACAACACGUUUAUGCUAUACUUCUAUGCUAUACAGGAUGUUUAUGCUAUACUUCUAUGCUAUACAAGAUGUUUAUGCUAUACUUCUGCCUACAUCCCAACUCCAGUUUCCUCCUACACCUCCUUCUCACUGUCCAGGCCCCAUCUCCAAAUUUUAUAGCUUACUAUCUCACUUCAUCUUGAGCGCAUUUUCUCAUACCUUUUCAUUCGGAAGAUCUUUCAUCUCGCAGUGCCCUAAAGCAACAUUUCUCCUCUGAGAUAAAUAAAAAAGCAAAAGCAAAUAAAACCGCCCUCAGCAUUAAGACAUACCAGCCCUGACCUAUCAAGCACAGCACGUCAAACCAGCAAGGGCUGUGAGUAAACGCAGCAGCCACACCACAUGUACUUUGCUCUUGCAGAUCACACCACGUAAGGUCAGCUCCAGCUAUCUAGGCUAUUUUCUGAUGAUUAUUCCCGAGUGAUAAAUGAAGUCAGAGGAGCUACAACCAGUUUAACAAUGCUCGACGACCUGUUCCAGGAUGCAAAGUUUACCUAGCAGUGCUUCUUCCUUAUGUACAUUGGCAACGUGACUUUCUCAGCAAUUACAAGAAUUAAUUCACUGUUCUUUAUACUUCCUCCUGCCUUUCUUACAGCCCACACAGAAACUGCAGAUAGAAGUUUCCACUACUGCAACUACAAAAUAGGUGCUCAUUUUUUAUAGCUUCAAAAACAACCCCCCAAACCUGUAUCUGUACUGUUACCACUGUCCAAAGACAAAUCUGAAUUGCCGUGACAGACUUCCCAUCUGACAGCUGCAUGCUAACAUUUGAUAAUAAAUGCAGUCUUCAGCUGGAGGUAAACAUCAGCACCGGUGCUGGGACCAGCAGCAUCCUGGACAGCAGUCCAGGAGACAGUCUCCAAUUUGGCCAGCCCUGUUUGUAAUUCUGCCACGGACUAACUAUACGGCACAGGACAAGUCUCUGCACUCUCUAGUGCCUUUAUCCACCUUUCCCUCAUUCCACAAACUUUUUUAAAAUCUAUUUGGAUUCGAGGGUCUCUGAGGAAGACAACGCGGGUGGCUUUACGGCUUUGGAUCCUUGUUUUAUCCCUCGUUACUAGAAGGGCGGGCAGGCCAGAAGCUGCCCCCUCGGGAGAGCACGGCCACGGGAAGUCUGGUGCCGCAGACACCACCGCACACGGAGCCGGGCAGAUUUCCACCUUUCUUCGUUACAAGCAGCCAAGCCACAGCCGCCACGCAUUUAAAAACGAGACAAAAACCAAGACUUUACUACAAGCCAUUACACUUUUUCCUCCUCAAUCCUUUUGUCACAUCAUCAGCUCAUUAGCAGAUCGCUUUGGCAAGUUUGAACCAUCUUGGGAAAAAAAUCUGAGAUUUUUGUUCCCUUUUUUCCCCUCCAUCCUAUGCUGCCGAAUUUUUUUCCUCUUUUCUGCUUUUUCUUGUCCUUUCAUUCCUUGCACACAUACGACAGAAAGGUUUUGAAUAGAAACUAGGAUUCAUUUGAACUCCCUUCAGAUCUAGCCCCUUUCUACCUGCCUUUUAGAGAAUUUUCCUUGGUGUUCGGCCCUGGGAACUGCUAAAAAUGUGUUAGCCUCUUGAUAAUACGCGAUGUAGUGAAGCGCAUGCAAUUUUUAUCUAAAGAACCGGCAGGAGCUGUCGCAAAGGGGUUCACUACCACUCCUCAAUUACAGUAAGCAAGAGUAAUUAAACAAUCAAACACAAUUAGCGUACAAAUUACUCUCAUAAAUGUGGACGAUCUAAUCUCCUUGCUGCUAAUUACAAAGCCUGUAGUUCAUUGAGCUAAAAGCCUAGGUCUGGGGAAGUGAAGGGGGGAGUACAAUAUGUUCCCCUCUCACACAGUCUUUUCUCCGAUACAGCUUAACAAGAUGCAUUUUCAAGAUGAUUUUUAUUUGAAGUCCCACAUCAAGUAUUACUUCCCUUUCCACUAUGACUCCCCAAAGUCUAAUCUUUUUCUUAGGACUUGUACAAACACCUGAUCCAGGCCCAGUUGUUUUAAUGAGUUUUAGUAAAAUAUCACUUAUAGACAUAAAUCCCCAGAUGAUAGUUCAGCUUUAGAUAAACACAGAAGAAAGCUGGAAGAGAUAUAUUUCAUUAUCACGUGCAUGUUUCAGAUACUUCGUGUUUGUAUGGGAAAUGGCACAAAGGGCAGGAAAAAAAAGGUUAAACUGAAAUUCCAAGUGAGACAUAGCAAUUCAUUCCCACCCCACUCCGCUGCCUGUAACACGCUGCAGCUCUAAUGAAUUGGGGAGCAGUGGCACAAGGCCCUGGCUGGUUUUUAAAUUAGACAUAGUAUUCACACCUGCGACUGUGAACAAUUCUGAAUUAGCAGAAAGAUGGACGUGGAUGGUCUAAUAAAUCACGCCGAGACCUAUAGUCCAUGCUUUCGAGUGGCAGGCGGAGGGGGCAGCCGGGGCAGCGGGCCCCGGACUCAGCGGGCUGCAUAUCGGGACGGGACUCGGUCCAACGGGAGUUUGUGCCUGGUGGAGCCGGGAUCGGCCGAGCUCCGCUGGGGAUGCGGCGGGCGGCUGCAGCACCCGGGCGCUUGCCCCGCCGCGUCCCGCGUCCCGCGGGCUGACCUCAAUACGCAGGGGGCCUGCGGGGAGCCCGGCUCCGCGCAGACGGGGGAUCAGGAAACUGUGCACGAGCACAGAAAUCCUGGGAUUUUUCUGCCUAAUAAGAAGCAAAAAAGUCCUGCCAGUUCCAGCACCUGGGCCCCCCUCUAGCUGCAAAGGGGGGUGAGGGGAAACUAAAUUCUUUCCUAAAUAAAUGUUUAGGUUCACUGAGCCAACUGCAAGGGCUCCUGUCUCCAAGGCGGGGAUGUUAUUCAUGUGGACCAUGCACUGCAUGUGGCCUCUUUACGCCUUUUUAUGAAAGCAGUGUAGAAAAACACCCGGGGCAGCCAGAAGGCUCCAUGCGAACACGGAGGUUUCCUGGGAAGCCCAUGAAGCCCAGGGUUGGUGGCUGUACCUCGAAACAGCAGUGGCAGCAGGCAGGGUGCCGUGGCUGUCUCAGGGAAAAAGCAAGACGAGGGCCUCGGCCCGUGGAAUAAACUGAAUUUCUGCGAGAGCCUAUGUAGCAACAGCAACUGGGGUCACCCUGGCUGCACGUCAUCCCCAGAAGCAGAAACGUUCCCGUUAGGAUCCGUGGAAGCAUCCAUCAACAACAGCUCUGCCCCAAUGCUGCGGCCAGGAAAAGGGGAAAGUAAACCACGACAUGCUACCCACUAAAACCCCUGCCAAAGCCUAAGAGAUGCCAAAGGGAUGAGCAAAAUAACAAUGGCCAAUAGAGUUUAAUAUAUUAAUGCAUUUUAAGAAACAUAUGUCUAAUAAGACAUAUGAGAAACAGUAAAACCCCUAAGCCUCUCACAGGUCUGCAAAACGCAGGUCAUAAAAUUUUAAAGGAGGAACAAAACAAAACAGGAGAGCGUAUCCCGUUCUUAGGACAGCACAGCUGGCAAACGCUCUGUUUUAUCUGUAACCAAGGAAGACAUGCAACUCUUCACUAAAAUAGCUUUCUAGUCUACAAACCAGGCUAGCAUCUAUCCAAGACUUUUAAAAGAAUCAUCCUACCCCUCUGACCUAUUAAGUUUACAUUUUUAUUAAGUCUAGGAAAUGGUGACAGUCUGGAGACCAGGAGGAUCAUCAGCAGAAACUCCUUGUUUUUAAAGGAUCAGACAAAUGACUGCUUACCUUACGGUCACUCCUGGAUAAACUCACAGAACAGCUUAUUUGUGCUACAUCAACAAAAGUUUCAAGUUGUAAAAAAUUGCAACAGGGUGGUCAGUACAACUUUGUGGAAAACAGGUCUGCAAACAACUGUGUCAUUUUAGAAGGGGCAGGAUUACGGCCCCGGCUGUGAAAGGAGACUGUUACAGGGAAUAAUUGGGGAGAGACCAAAGCAGACAGCCAAAACCUUCUGAUUACAAAAAUGAAUUCUACCCAAUUAACCAAGCAUGCUCUGGCAGAAAGAAAAAACAGCUAGUGACAUCUCAAAAUCUAGUUGGCAAAAAGGAUCUCUUCAAAUCAAAGACAGUUUUUUUCCUACUCUCCUGCAAGGAUUAGUUCAACAUUUUUUUUUUAUCAACAUCAUUGACAAUAAUAACCCUCUUUUGCCGGCAAAACGUGCAGAGAACGCAGGCGUUAGUGCAGUAUUAAACAAUGCCAAAGACGUUACUGUUAAAGAGUGAGCUGAAAUGCUUGUCCAUAAUGUAACAAACUGUGCUUUAAUAAAACCAUACAUCAAUCUA